AUAGCAUAUGGUAAACCUUCUUCCGAAAUCGCGGAUUCCUCACUUUCGCCUCUUCCGCCGUUACAGCGAUCGCGGCGAGCCCUGCUCUCGAAGUCGAAGGAUUUGAUUGCGUCGAGAUGGAAGCGAUGAGAAGGGCUGCGCAGCGUCACCUCGUCCAAUCCGUCCUCCGCCGCGACUUCCCUCCUCACCCGUUAUCUUCCUUCUCGGCAGUCGCUGCCCCGAGGAACGUGCCGACGGCCGCCCUUUCGCCAGAGGAUCUGAUGUAACGACAACGCACUGGUCGAGACGGUGCCCUUCACCUCCACCUGCUGCCUCAUCGAAGACCUUCCCCGUUGGCUUGGCUGGCCAAGGAGCAACACUCUCCCGAGCGGACUCCCAAGGAUGUCGUACUUUACCAGUAUGAGGCUUGCCCCUUCUUCAAUAAGGUCAAAGCAUUGCUUGACUAUCAUGAGAUAAGAUACAAAAUUGUGGAGGUGAAUCCUUUAAGCAAGAAGGAGAUAGUGGCCUGAUUAUAAGAAGGUUCCAAUACUGGUUGUGAACGGGGAGCAGCUAAUUAAUUCAUCAGAUAUAGUGAGAAACUUAGAUGCCAGGCUGCAUCCUGAGAAAGUCACUGAUGACGAAAAUGUCAAAUGGCUUAGGCGGGUUGAUGAUCACCUUGUUCAUAUGUUGGCACCAAACAUUUACAGAACAACUUCAGAGGCGCUGGAAUCUUUUGAUUACAUAGCUAACAAUGGUAAGUUUGUACUAUUAGUGUUAAAUGUUCAUAGAUAGUGCUUCAUGCAAUACUUGAUCCAUACAUAGAAAGAUUCUUGUAUUUUACAA